rnacentral:lncRNA from 1 species
GUUCCACAUGGCUGGGGAGGCCUCACAAUCAUGGCAGAAGGCAAAGGGAAAGCAAAGGCACGUCUUACAUGGUGACAGGUAAGAGGGCUUGUGCAAGGGAACUCCCCUUUAUAAGACCAUCAGAUGUCGUGAGACUUACUGGCUACCACAGGAACAGAAUGGGGGAACCAAACCCAUGAUUCAAUUAUCUCCAACUGGCUCCAUCCUUGACACAUGGGGAUUAUUACAAUUCAAGGUGAGAUUUGGGUGGGGACACAGAGCUAACUCAUAUCAUCCUGGAAUCAGGCCCUGACAGUCUGAGUAAUCUUGCCAGACGACUGGCCGAGGGGCAGCCCAGACCCUUCCUCAGCCUCCAGCUCUGAGAAAGCCUCUCUGCUGGAGCCUGGUUGCACCCCAGGAGAGGCCCC